CCCUUAGACGUUCUGGGCCGCACGCGCGCUACACUGACGAAGGCAACGAGCUUUCCUUUACCGAAAGGUACGGGUAAUCUUUUGAAACUUCGUCGUGCUGGGGAUAGAUCCUUGCAAUUUUUGAUCUUAAACGAGGAAUGCCUAGUAAGCGCAAGUCAUCAACUUGCGUUGAUUACGUCCCUGCCCUUUGUACCCACCGCCCGUCGCUACUACCGAUUGAAUGGUUUAGUGAGGCCUUCGGAUCCGCGACUCGUUUGUGGAGAAGUUGGACAAACUCAGUCAUUUAGAGGAAGUAAAAGUCGUAACA
rnacentral:rRNA from 1 species